AGUGAACGCUGGCGGUAGGCCUAACGCAUGCAAGUCGAACGGCAGCACAGUAAGAGCUUGCUCUUACGGGUGGCGAGUGGCGGACGGGUGAGGAAUACAUCGGAAUCUACUUUUUCGUGGGGGAUAACGUAGGGAAACUUACGCUAAUACCUCAUACGACCUACGGGUGAAAGCAGGGGAUCUUCGGACCUUUCGCGAUUGAAUGAGCCGAUGUCGGAUUAGCUAGUUGGCGGGGUAAAGGCCCACCAAGGCGACGAUCCGUAGCUGGUCUGAGAGGAUGAUCAGCCACACUGGAACUGAGACACGGUCCAGACUCCUACGGGAGGCAGCAGUGGGGAAUAUUGGACAAUGGGCGAAAGCCUGAUCCAGCCAUACCGCGUGGGUGAAGAAGGCCUUCGGGUUGUAAAGCCCUUUUGUUGGGAAAGAAAAGCAGCAGGUUAAUACCCCGAUGUUCUGACGGUACCCAAAGAAUAAGCACCGGCUAACUUCGUG
rnacentral:rRNA from 1 species